AGAGUUUGAUCAUGGCUCAGAUUGAACGCUGGCGGCAUGCCUUACACAUGCAAGUCGAACGGCAGCACGGACUUCGGUCUGGUGGCGAGUGGCGAACGGGUGAGUAAUACAUCGGAACGUGUCCUGGAGUGGGGGGAUAGCCCGGCGAAAGCCGGAUUAAUACCGCAUACGCUCUGUGGAGGAAAGCGGGGGAUCGCAAGACCUCGCGCUCAAGGGGCGGCCGAUGGCAGAUUAGCUAGUUGGUGGGGUAAAGGCCUACCAAGGCGACGAUCUGUAGCUGGUCUGAGAGGACGACCAGCCACACUGGGACUGAGACACGGCCCAGACUCCUACGGGAGGCAGCAGUGGGGAAUUUUGGACAAUGGGCGCAAGCCUGAUCCAGCAAUGCCGCGUGUGUGAAGAAGGCCUUCGGGUUGUAAAGCACUUUUGUCCGGAAAGAAAACCUCUGGGUUAAUACCCUGGGGGGAUGACGGUACCGGAAGAAUAAGCACCGGCUAACUACGUGCCAGCAGCCGCGGUAAUACGUAGGGUGCAAGCGUUAAUCGGAAUUACUGGGCGUAAAGCGUGCGCAGGCGGUUCGUUAAGACAGAUGUGAAAUCCCCGGGCUUAACCUGGGAACUGCAUUUGUGACUGGCGGACUCGAGUAUGGCAGAGGGGGGUAGAAUUCCACGUGUAGCAGUGAAAUGCGUAGAGAUGUGGAGGAAUACCGAUGGCGAAGGCAGCCCCCUGGGCCAAUACUGACGCUCAUGCACGAAAGCGUGGGGAGCAAACAGGAUUAGAUACCCUAGUAGUCC
rnacentral:rRNA from 1 species